ACGGGGUGCAGCAGNCGCGAAAACUUUGCAAUGUGCGAAAGCACGACAAGGUUAAUCCGAGUGAUUUCUGCUAAAGAAAUCUUUUGCAAGUCAUAAAACCACUAGUGAAUAAGGGGUGGGCAAGUUCUGGUGUCAGCCGCCGCGGUAAAACCAGCACCUCAAGUGGUCAGGAGGAUUAUUGGGCCUAAAGCAUCCGUAGCCGGCUCUGUAAGUUUUCGGUUAAAUCCAUGUGCUCAACGCAUGGGCUGCCGAAAAUACUGCAUAGCUAGGGAGUGGGAGAGGUAGACGGUACUCGGUAGGAAGGGGUAAAAUCCUUUGAUCUAUCGAUGACCACCUGUGGCGAAGGCGGUCUACCAGAACACGUUNGACGGUGAGGGAUGAAAGCUGGGGGAGCAAACCGGAUUAGAUACCCGGGUAGUCCCAGCNGUAAACGAUGCAGA
rnacentral:rRNA from 1 species